rfam:Macropus eugenii Contig159689, whole genome shotgun sequence.
GCUUUCUGAGCAGUUGGUGUAGAUACAGAUAAAUCAGCUUCUUUCAGAGAGU